rnacentral:rRNA from 1 species
GAGUUUGAUCCUGGCUCAGGACGAACGCUGGCGGCGCGCCUAACACAUGCAAGUCGAACGAGCGAGAGAGAGCUUGCUUUCUCGAGCGAGUGGCGAACGGGUGAGUAACGCGUGAGGAACCUGCCUCAAAGAGGGGGACAACAGUUGGAAACGACUGCUAAUACCGCAUAAGCCCACAGCUCGGCAUCGAGCAGAGGGAAAAGGAGCAAUCCGCUUUGAGAUGGCCUCGCGUCCGAUUAGCUGGUUGGUGAGGUAAUGGCCCACCAAGGUGACGAUCGGUAGCCGGACUGAGAGGUUGAACGGCCACAUUGGGACUGAGACACGGCCCAGACACCUACGGGAGGCAGCAGUGGGGAAUAUUGCACAAUGGGGGAAACCCUGAUGCAGCGACGCCGCGUGGAGGAAGAAGGUCUUCGGAUUGUAAACUCCUGUUGUUGAGGAAGAUAAUGACGGUACUCAACAAGGAAGUGACGGCUAACUACGUGCCAGCAGCCGCGGUAAAACGUAGGUCACAAGCGUUGUCCGGAAUUACUGGGUGUAAAGGGAGCGCAGGCGGGAAGACAAGUUGGAAGUGAAAUCUAUGGGCUCAACCCAUAAACUGCUUUCAAAACUGUUUUUCUUGAGUAGUGCAGAGGUAGGCGGAAUUCCCGGUGUAGCGGUGGAAUGCGUAGAUAUCGGGAGGAACACCAGUGGCGAAGGCGGCCUACUGGGCACCAACUGACGCUGAGGCUCGAAAGUGUGGGUAGCAAACAGGAUUAGAUACCCUGGUAGUCCACAUCGUAAACGAUGAUUACUAGGUGUUGGAGGAUUGACCCCUUCAGUGCCGCAGUUAACACAAUAAGUAAUCCACCUGGGGAGUACGACCGCAAGGUUGAAACUCAAAGGAAUUGACGGGGGCCCGCACAAGCAGUGGAGUAUGUGGUUUAAUUCGACGCAACGCGAAGAACCUUACCAAGUCUUGACAUCCUGCGACGCACAUAGAAAUAUGUGUUUCCUUCGGGACGCAGAGACAGGUGGUGCAUGGUUGUCGUCAGCUCGUGUCGUGAGAUGUUGGGUUAAGUCCCGCAACGAGCGCAACCCUUACUGUCAGUUACUACGCAAGAGGACUCUGGCAGGACUGCCGUUGACAAAACGGAGGAAGGUGGGGAUGACGUCAAAUCAUCAUGCCCUUUAUGACUUGGGCUACACACGUACUACAAUGGCGUUAAACAAAGAGAAGCAAGACCGCGAGGUGGAGCAAAACUCAGAAACAACGUCCCAGUUCGGACUGCAGGCUGCAACUCGCCUGCACGAAGUCGGAAUUGCUAGUAAUCGUGGAUCAGCAUGCCACGGUGAAUACGUUCCCGGGCCUUGUACACACCGCCCGUC